rnacentral:rRNA from 1 species
UACAGAGGGUGCGAGCGUUAAUCGGAAUUACUGGGCGUAAAGCGUGCGCAGGCGGUUCGUUGUGUCGGCGGUGAAAGCCCCGGGCUUAACCUGGGAAUGGCCGUCGAAACUGGCGAACUGGAGUGUGGCAGAGGGGGGUGGAAUUCCGCGUGUAGCAGUGAAAUGCGUAGAGAUGCGGAGGAACACCGAUGGCGAAGGCAGCCCCCUGGGCUGACACUGACGCUCAGGCACGAAAGCGUGGGGAGCAAACAGG